CUCGAACCAUCAUGAGAGGUACAGCCUGCCCAGUGACCCAAUGUUCAACGGCCGCGGUAUCCUAACCGUGCGAAGGUAGCGUAAUCACUUGUUCUUUAAAUGAGGACUAGUAUGAAUGGCAUCACGAGGGUUAUACUGUCUCCUUUUUCCGAUCAGUGAAACUAAUCUCCCCGUGAAGAAGCGGGAAUUAUUUUAUAAGACGAGAAGACCCUAUGGAGCUUUAAACUAACCAGCAUUUGCUAUUUAACAUAAUUUUUCAGAAAUCUAAAAAACAAUUUAGCUCUUUGACUAUAAGUUUUCGAUUGGGGUGAUCACGGAACAAAAAAUAACCUCCGUGUCGAAAGGACUCUUUCUGAGCCAAAAGUGACAACCUUAAGCACUAAAAAAUUAACGCUUAUUGACCCAAUAAUUUGAUCAACGAAC
rnacentral:rRNA from 1 species